rnacentral:rRNA from 1 species
CUACGGGUUGCACCAGUGGGGGAUAUUGCACAAUGGGGGAAACCCUGAUGCAGCAACGCCGCGUGAAGGAAGACGGAUUUCGGUCUGUAAACUUCUAUCAGCAGGGAUGAAAAUGACAGUACCUGACUAAGAAGCCCCGGCUAACUACGUGCCAGCAGCCGCGGUAAUACGUAGGGGGCAAGCGUUAUCCGGAUUUACUGGGUGUAAAGGGUACGUAGGCGGUUUGUUAAGUCAGAUGUGAAAGCCCGGAGCUCAACUCCGGGACUGCAUUUGAAACUGGCGAACUAGAGUACAGGAGAGGAAAGCGGAAUUCCUAGUGUAGCGGUGAAAUGCGUAGAUAUUAGGAAGAACACCAGUGGCGAAGGCGGCUUUCUGGACUGUAACUGACGCUGAGGUACGAAAGCGUGGGGAGCGAACAGGAUUAGAUACCCUAGUAGUC